AGAGUAAACUUGAAGCCUGAAAUUGCAGCACUCAUUUGGUGACCAGGAGUGGGCAAACAGAAGGACAAAGGCCUACAAGGUAAGAUUAAAUAAUCAAGUCAUUAUUGUGAAUUUGGAUCUAAAUGACCUGGCAGAAACCAUGGAGAUGAUCUUGGAUUUAAAGAGGAAAAACUCAAAGCAAUGUAUUCUGAUCAAGAAAUGGCAGGAAAUGGCAGCUACCUGAUAUGGAACAAUCAACAACUGAAGGUUUAUUUUGAAUGAGAGGUGUUGUCCAACUGCGAGACGGAGUGAUUGAAGCUGAGAAUAAAUGGAAACACAAUCAAUAGUCACUCCAGUGAGGUAGGAAAGAAAGCCAUUCCGAAGUGGCAGAGAAGCUGCUUUUUCCUCCUGCAUGCUGCCUGCUAGUGUGGAUCUUGGCAUAACAGACACUACUUGGCAAAAGAUCCAUCCUUCCUUUUCCUAUACUUUGCUCAGCGGCCUGGAAGAUUGACCUCAAAAGCAAAAUCACCUGGAUUUCCUUGCCAUUUGGCUUUCAAAUGUGCUCAGCCAAUGACAGGCUGGAAAGAAAUUGACAGCUGGGAAAAGAGGAAGAUUUGUGUACAAGAUCCCUUCCACUCCCAUCUCAUUACCUGCCAUGGUCCUAGCAGUGGCUGUUCUUAUUAUGGCCACAACUACUCUUGGACAGGCCAACAUCCACAACUCCAUCCUUCAACUAGGCUUCAUUAACACUGUCCCUCACCCUUAUCUCUUUCUGGGUAGGGGUGAUAAAGGUUUCCUGACAUCAGAGUUCCUGAGUGCCUCAUAUAUUCUUGUUGGUCCCUGAACCUUGCCCCAACAUCAAUAAAAAGUUCCUUCAUUAAAUAAUUUUCAGUUGAAUCUUUCGUGCUGGGAUCUGUCCAAUUCGACUUUAGCAUACUUUUCGUGCCAAGAAAGUGAUAGUUUCUUGCCAGGAUUUGGCUCAAAGGGCUCACAGUGGGUGAGGGGAUGAGAUUACUUAUUAAGUGAUAAAAUGGAGAUCACAGUGGUUAACCUGCCUAAGAUCACAUGGUUGGUCAACUCAUGGUCGAUUCAUUAAAAUAUUAAAACAUAGAAUCAGUCAGGC
rnacentral:lncRNA from 1 species